UGGAAAGCUCAGCCGAAGAAGGUGAAAGCCCUGUAAUCGAAACCUUGCAUACACGGGACUGUAUCCAGAGUACCACGAGACACGUGAAACCUUGUGGGAAGCAGGGGGGACCACCCUCCAAGCCAAAAUACUGAUAUCGACCGAUAGCGCAUAGUACCGUGAGGGAAAGGUGAAAAGAACCCCUGGCGGGGAGUGAAAGAGAACCUGAAACCGUAUGUCUACAAACAGUCGAAGUCUGUAUAUAUAUCAGGACGACGGCGUGCCUAUUGAAGAAUGAACCGACGAGUUACUGUUGCUAGCGAGGUUAAGUGGAAAACAUGGAGCCGCAGCGAAAGCGAGUCUGAACAGGGCGUUCAGUUAGUAAUAGUAGACCCGAAACCGUAGUGAUCUAUCCAUGGCCAGGUUGAAGCACAGGUAAAAUUGUGUGGAGGACCGAACUCGUGAGCGUUGAAAAGCUUUGGGAUGAGUUGUGGAUAGGGGUGAAAUGCCAAUCGAACACGGAGAUAGCUGGUUCUCCCCGAAAUAGCUUUAGGGCUAGCCUCGAGGUUGAGAGUAUAGGCGGUAGAGCACUGAUCGGGCUAGGGGCCAUACCGGUUACCGAACCUAGUCAAACUACGAAUGGCUAUACUUAUACUCGGGAGUCAGACAGUGAAUGAUAAGGUCCAUUGUCAAGAGGGAAACAGCCCAGAACACCGACUAAGGUCCCAAAUGUUACACUAAGUGGCGAAGGAUGUGGAGUUUCCAAAACAACCAGGAUGUUGGCUUAGAAGCAGCCACCAUUUAAAGAGUGCGUAAUAGCUCACUGGUCGAGAGACUCUGCGCCGAAGAUGUCCGGGGCUAAAGUGUAAAACCGAAGUCGUGUCAUAUGCAGCAAUGUAUAUGGGUAGGGGAGCGUUCUCAUCGGGCUGAAGCAGUACCGUAAGGAGUUGUGGACUGAUGAGAAGUGAGAAUGUCGGUAUGAGUAGCGAAAAGAAUGGUGAGAAUCCAUUCCACCGAAAGCCUAAGGGUUCCUGAGCAACGAUCGUCGUCUCAGGGUAAGUCGGGACCUAAGCCGAGGCGGAAAAGCGUAGGCGAUGGACAACAGGUUGAAAUUCCUGUACCGGUGUGAAUCGUUUGAUCGAUGGAGUGACACAGUAAGGUAGGUCAGCACGCGAUUGGAAGUGCGUGUUUAAGCAGGUAGGUUGAGCUAUAGGCAAAUCCGUAGCUCUAAAAGCUGAGAUGUGAUGACGAGUUACUAGCGAUAGUAACGAAGUGAUUGAUCCUACACUGUCGAGAAAAGCUUCUAGGUAGAGACACAUCGCCCGUACCAAAACCGACACAGGUAGGCGGGGAGAGAAUCCUAAGGUGCGCGGGAAAACCCUCGUUAAGGAACUCGGCAAAAUGCCUCCGUAACUUCGGGAAAAGGAGGACUCAUGUAGUGUGAAG
rnacentral:rRNA from 1 species